AAUGGUCUGGGACUCAGUGGUCGAGGCUCUGCCUGUCACGCAUGAGGCCCUGGGUUCAAUCCCCAGGACAAAUA
rnacentral:tRNA from 1 species